rnacentral:rRNA from 1 species
CCCUUAGAUGUUCUGGGCCGCACGCGCGCUACACUGAUGCAUUCAACGAGUUUCUUCCUGGUCCGAGAGGAAUGGGUAACCUUUUGAAAGUGCAUCGUGAUAGGGAUAGACUAUUGCAAUUAUUGGUCUUCAACGAGGAAUUCCUAGUAGACGUAGUUCAUCAGACUGCAUCGAUUACGUCCCUGCCCUUUGUACACACCGCCCGUCGUUCCUACCGAUUGAAUGCUCAGGUGAGCCAUUCGGACUUUCAUCAUGCUGGUUUCCAGUUUUGAUGAAGGAAAGUCUUGCGAACCUUAUCAUUUAGAGGAAGGAGAAGUCGUAACA